rnacentral:rRNA from 1 species
CAUAUUGACUUUUACUACAUGAAUAUGAUGUAGGUUCAGAUAUAACGCUAUGUAGAGACAUAACACAUGCAAGUAAUUAUAUAUCCUUAUAUAUAUAAUUGCGUUCAGGUGAGUAAUUAAAGACUAAUCAAAGUCUUAAUAGAUGCAGGUAGUAGUUAUUGACAUGUAUACAUGCGCCUAUAUAAAUAUAAAUAUAUUGGGCGGAUAAGCGGUUAAGAUAACUAGCCUUAGACCUAUAUUCCAUGGUGGAAGCCAUAAGGAACACAUAGAAGAUAUUUUCUACUACUAUUAGUAGCAGCAGUGAGGAAUCAUUGACAAUGAUCUAACGAUUGAUCAUGUUAUCUACAUAAGGUUAAAAGCGAAUAUAUGUAUAAAUUAUUUUAUCUUUUGAUAGAAUAGGUUAUAAUUAGUAUAGAAUACUUUUAAUAUACCUUGAUAAUUUAGUUAAUAAUGAUAGCUAAAAUUAUAUAGUCCUUACCAAGAUGUGUGCCAGCAGUAGCGGUCAUACACACAGGGCAAGCGUUUAUCAUCACUGGUUUAAAGGAUCCGUAGGCUUAAUGAAUAGAAUCUUUUAGUUAUACUAUGUAAAUUAUAUAGAGAGAUAAUAUGUUAUGACAUAUAAUAGACAGUAAAGAAAGUAUACUAAUUGAUUGACGCUAAGGGAUGAAAGCUGUAAGAGCGACAUGGAUUCGGUACCCAUUUAGCUACAGCUGUUAACUAUGUAUACCACGCAAUUAUUAAAUAAUAAUAAUAAUAAUUGAGCAAGCAAAUGUUAAGAGUAUACCACCAGACUAGUACGUUCGCAAGAAUGAAAUGUAAUACAUUAGACGGUUAUAUAUCGAUACAGUGGAUCAUGCUGUUUAAUUGGACGAUACACCAGAACCUUACCAAAUCUUGAAUAUAUAUACCAUAUUUAUAUGAAUAUAUACAGGCGUUACAUUGUUGUCGUCAGUUCAUGCCUAGUGGUUUGUUACUAAGCUAAUUAAUGAACGUAAUCCUCAUUCACGAUCAUUUUUUUUUCAUGGUAAAUAUUUAAUGAAAAUGAUUAUGAAGAUGCAUAAUAGAUAUAUUAUGGAAAGUAGAGGUUGAAGACUAAUCCGCAUGACCCUUAUGAUUUGGGCUACAGGUGUGAUACGAAUAUACUAUUAAUUAUAUUUCUAAUAAUAGAAUAAGUAAACUAGUAUAAUCAUGGAAGCCUAUCUUUAACUGGAUUACUCUCUGUAACUCGAGAGUAUUAAAGAGGAACUGUCAGUAAUCGCAUUAUAGUAUAGUGCGGUGAAGUUGUCAUAUAUUUCGCACUAAUCACUCAUCAAUAGCACAGAUAAGGUUCAUAGUCAUUUAUCUAACCCACCAGAUUAUCAUUCUCCCCGCCCGCCUUCGGCGGGCGUAUCUUGUUUGAUCUUUGGUUCAGUAUAUGAUGACUAUAUACAACCUAUGAUAUGCUAUAAGUUGAAAUACAGUUCGGGUAAGGGAACUUGCUCGGGACUUAUAUUAAUAUUAUCUAUUCCUUAUUCAUAAUAAUGUAACCCGGCCCCCUUCGGGGGCCUAUUAAAGUGCGAAGGCACUUAUUUAAUGCCCGAAGGGCACUAU